GGGUUUGGCCUCAGGUUAAUGAUAACGACAUAGGGGACAGAACUGAUGUAACUAUGAUACCAGAUGAGGAUCUAUUAAUCGAAGGAAGAAGAAGAAAUCGACUAAUAAACGUACGAUGUGUGGAGGUUGUAUCGACAAUAAAUUUAUUGACAAUAUCUUGCUUUCGUUUCUUAUUAUUCGUCCUUUAUCAGCUGACAUUCUAAUCUGAUUCUAACAGUUUAGCUAUAAUAUACUGGUACAAAACCAGCCAUUUUAUUGUAUAUAUUUAGGUAAAACAGCUCUAUAUUGAUCACGAUGGAGAUCACAGCUUGGUAUAGGCCGUCCGUUAACAUUGUACUUCAUCCUUCUAACAAUAACAAUAUGUUACAAUUUAAGUACGGUAUAUGUAUCUCAGCGGAACACUAACGAGUUGUCCCCAAGCAUAAAUAGCUAGCCUUCAAUAUCUAUAGCCAUAAACCCACAUCUGUCCACAAUCACUGGAUAAUUUUGUUAAUGAACCCGGUCAAUUCUUCAUUAUUUAUUGUAACAGAUUUUGAAAUGAUAAAGUUCCGAUAGGGCAUACUUUAUCAAAGUACUGAAAGUACUUAAAAUGACAAAAAAAUGACAAUAACAAACUGUCAACCAUCUCGAAAAUCCAUAAAACGAAAUACAAAUUCAAAGCAGAACAACAACGACCUCUAAAAAUCU
rnacentral:sRNA from 1 species